rnacentral:rRNA from 1 species
AUUGAACGCUGGCGGCAUGCUUUACACAUGCAAGUCGAACGGUAACAGGUUAAGCUGACGAGUGGCGAACGGGUGAGUAAUGUAUCGGAACGUGCCCGAUCGUGGGGGAUAACGCAGCGAAAGCUGCGCUAAUACCGCAUACGAUCUGAGGAUGAAAGCGGGGGACCGUAAGGCCUCGCGCGAUCGGAGCGGCCGAUGUCAGCUUAGGUAGUUGGUGGGGUAAAGGCUCACCAAGCCGACGAUCGGUAGCUGGUCUGAGAGGACGACCAGCCACACUGGGAAUGAGACCCGGCCCAGACUCCUACGGGAGGCAGCAGUGGGGAAUUUUGGACAAUGGGCGAAAGCCUGAUCCAGCAAUGCCGCGUGCAGGAAGAAGGCCUUCGGGUUGUAAACUGCUUUUGUACGGAGCGAAAAGGCUCUCUCUAAUACAGGGGGCUCAUGACGGUACCGUAAGAAUAAGCACCGGCUAACUACGUGCCAGCAGCCGCAGUAACAC